CUGACAGCGAGCAGAGCUCGAUGUGGCAGCGCAGCUCCCGGGGGGACGUGUGCUGCCAGCAGGUGUGGGGCUGCCGCGGAGGGCAGGUCUCCUGCGCGGGGUCCUCCUUGUCACCGCCGUGACAGCCACAGCGCCCGCGGGGCGCCCCGCCGGGCAGGGGGGUGCGCUGAACUCUUCUGAGAGCGCUGGGGGGGCGAGCUGGUGGUAGGAAUGCAAACCAGGAGCAGCUGGCACCCCUUGGUUCCCCAGGCAUGCAAAUCCAUGUGCCCUUACAGGCUCAUGAAGAAUUCUGUCAGAUUCGUGGAAUAUCUAAUUUGAGGACAGACUGUAUCAGGGAUUAGUCUGAUCCCAAAGUAGCUAAAAGACUGCUGCAAAGUCUGGCUUAGAAGAAACAAGAUUGUUUAAAUUAGGAGAGCACAGAAGUUUUGUCAAGAAGGUGAUAUAAUGACUCAGUGGACUUAGUUUGCAAAACAAAGAAUCAGAAUUGCUUGCUGUGCUGGAGGAAAAAAAACCCUGGAAAAUACAGAGUGUGAUUCUGAAUAAAAUAAAAAAUGCAAGUAA